AGAAUAGAAGAGACGAAACAGGGGAAAACAGAACAGAGAAAUAAGAAAAAGAAAGAAAAAGGAAAAAUAGGGUUUUUGAAGCUUGAAGUUUAAUUGGUAAGUUAAAUCAAGUCCUUUUCUCAUAAAUUUGAUGUUUUUUGAAUCUUAGAGUGAAACACUCUUGGAUUUAAGUUGAAAUUUUGAAAGUUAAUAGAUUUUUUAGUAGGGUUUAUGUUGAAUAAAUGAUGGAAUUGAG
rnacentral:lncRNA from 1 species